ACAGAGUCUCUGUCGCCCAGGCUGGAGUACAGUGAGACCAUCUUGCAAUCUCUGCCUCCCGGGUUCAAGUGAUUCUCCUGCCUCAGCCUCCAGGAUUACAGAAAAAAAGAAAACAGCUCCUGUUGCCUUUUGCCUCUCAUCCAGAAAGUCAUCCAUCUGCCUUUCUAAUAUCUCUUCAUCCUGUCAGGCCACAAAUGCCCUGAAGAAACAGUAGCAACAAGACAGACAUCUCUGCUCUCAAAGAACUUACAUUCUACUGAGGAGACCCAAUAAAUAAAUAAAGAAGAAAACUCCAGAGAAUAAGAGAUUCCAUAAGUCCUGGCAAAGAGGGGAACACAUCUCUCUCAGAACUUCCCAGGAGGGAAGGUGGAGUCACUGAGGAACUUGAAGGUUUGAUUAUGGAGGUUUGAACAAAGAGAGAGAAGGGUGAGGGCUGUUUAUAAGGUAGUGAGGGAGAAAGCAUACGUUAGGAGCAUCUUUCUCAUGAGGCUUAAGUCUGGAAGUGCUUUCCCAGGUGCUCUAUAAAUGAAUGGUGAAGUCGAAGAGAAUUACUGUAACUUCUGUUCCUCCUCAUACCCUAAAUGGCUGGCUUUAUGGAUGUGCAACCUAUAUAGUUGCACAGAACACAUUAUCAGAAAGGUCCUGCACUUGGUUUAAUAUUCUACUCUUACUGUCUUGAAAUUGUUAUUUUUUUCUUUGAAUUUAUAUUUUUUAAAUGAAGUGCAAUAGGAUGGUGGAGCCUGAACACAGGAUAUGUCAAUAAGCAUGUGUGCUGCCAUUUUGCCACCCCACUCCCACAUAAUGUUCAGUAUGCCCCAUAAGCACAGAAUUUCUCUGGACCCAUGAUGGGUGGGAAUGCAGUGAGACUCAAAGCAAGUACAAGGUGAGUUUGUUACAUCUAUGUCUGACUAAGCAGAAGCUGACAGCUGCAAGAGGCCAGUGUUUGAACUAGAAUGUGCUUUGAAUGCAGAAAGAAGGCAAUGGUGAAGAGACAAAAUAGGAAGAAGUAUUUGCAAACCAUACAAUUGAUAAGGGAUUCAUAUCAAAAAUAUAUAAGGAACUCAAGAACUCAAACAAUUCAAUAGCAAGAAAACAAAUAACCCAAUUUAAAAAUGGGCAAAGGAUCUGAAUAAACAUUUAAAAAAACCAUACAUAUGGCCAACAGGUAUAUGCAAAAAAGCUCAGUGUCACUAAUCAUCAGAUAAAUGCAAAUUAAAAUCGCAAUGAGAUAUCCCCUCACACCUAUUAGAACAGCUACUAUCAAAAAGAUGAAAGACAAGUGUUGGUAAGGAUAUGCAGAAAAGGGAACCUUUGUACACUGUUGGGGGGAAUGUAAAUUAGUGCAGCCAUUAUGGAAAACAGUUUAGAAGUCUCUCAAAAAAUUAUAAAUAGAAUUACCUAAACCCACUACUAGAUAUACAUCCAAAAAAUUGAAAUCAGUAUAUUGAAGAGUUGUCUGCAUGCCCAUGUGCAUUGCAGCUUUAUUCACAAUAGCACAAUCAACCUAAGUGUCCAUCAACAGAUAAAUGGAUAUAAAGAAAACCUGGUAUAUAUACACAAUGGAAUACUAUUCAGCCUUUAAAAAGAAGAAAAUCCUGCCAUUUGUGACAACAUGGAUGAAUCUGAAGGACAUUAUGUUAAGUAAAAUAAGCCAGGCACAGAAAGACCAAUACUUCAUGAUCUCACUUACAUGUGGAAUACAAAAAAGGCAAACUCAUAGAAGCAUGGAGUAGAAAGGUGGUUACCAGGUGCUGGAAGUGUGAGGGAUGGUGUGAGAUGUUGAUCAAAGAAUAUUCGCAUUUCAGUUAGACAGGAGGAAUACGUUCAAUAGAUCUAUUGUACAACAUGGUGACUAUAGUUAAUAACAAUGUAUUGUAUAUUUCAAAAUUGCUAAUAGAGCAGAUUUUAAGUGUUCUCACCAUUAAUAGUAACUAUUUUAUAUGUUUGUUGGCUGCAUAAAUGUCUUCUUUUGAGAAGUGUCUGUUCAUAUCCUUUGCCCACUUUUUGAUGGGGCUGUUUUUUUCUUGUAAAUUUGUUGAAGUUCCUCAUAGAUUCUGGAUAUUAGCCCUUUGUCAGAUGGAUAGAUUGCAAAAAUUCUCUCACACUCUGUAGGUUGCCUGUUCACUCUGAUGAACGUUUCUUUUGCUUUGCAGAAGCUCUUUAGUUUAAUUAGAUCCCAUUUGUCAAUUUUGGCUUUUUUUUGCAAUUGCUAUUUGUGUUUUAGUCAUGAAGUCAUUGCCCUUGCCUAUGUCCUGAAUGGUAUUGCCUAAGUUUUCUUCUAGGGUUUUUAUGGUUUUAGGUUUUACAUUGAAGUCUUUAAUCCAUCUUGAGUUAAUUUUUGUAUAAGGUAUAAGGAAGGAGUCCAGUUUUAGUUUCCUGCAUAUGGCGAGCCAGUUUCCCAGCACCAUUUAUUAAAUAGGGAAUCCUUUCCACAUUGCUUGUUUUUGUCAGGUUUGUCAAAGAUCAGAUAGUUGUAGAUGUGUAGUGUUAUUUCUGAGGUCUCCAUUCUGUUCCAUUGGUGUAUAUAUCUGUUUUGGUACCAGUACCAUGCUGUUUUGGUUACUGUAGCCUUGUGGUAUAGUUUGAAGUCAGGUAGCAUGAUGACUCCAGUUUUGUUGUUUUUGCUUACAAUUGUCUAGGCUAUCUGGGCUCUUAUUUGGUUCCGUAUGAAAUUUAAAGUAGUUUUUCUAAUUCUGCAAAGAAAGUCAGUGGUAGCUUCGUGGGUAUAGCAUUUAAUCUAGACAUUAUUUUGGGCGGUAUGGCCAUUUUCACAAUAUUGAUUUUUCCUAUCCAUGAAGAUGGAAUGUUUUUCCAUUUGUUUGUGUCCUUUCUUAUUUCCUUGAGCAGUGGUUUGUAGUUCUCCUUGAAGAAGUCCUCAUCACUGGUCAUUAGAGAAAUGCAAAUCAAAACCACAGUGAGACACCAUCUCAUGCCAGUUAGAAUAGUGAUUAUUAAAAAGUCUGGAAACAAGAGAUGCUGGUGAAGCUACCAAGAAAUAGGAAUGCUUUUACACUUUUGGUGGUAGUGUAAAUUAGUUCAACCAUUGUGGAAGACAACGUGGCGAUUCCUCAAGGAUUAGAACCAGAAAUACCAUUUGACCCAGCAAUCCCAUUACUGGAUCUAUACUCAAAGAAUUAUAAAUUAUUCUACUAUAAAGACACAUGCACACUUAUGUUUACUGCAGUACUAUUUACAAUAGCCAAGACUUGGAACCAACCCAAAUGCCCAUCAGUGAUAGACUGGAUAAAGAAAAUGUGGCACAUAUAUACCAUGGAAUUCUAUGCAGCCAUAAAAAAGAAUGAGUUCAUGUCCUUUGCAGGGACAUGGGUGAAGCUGGAAGCCAUCAUUCUCAGCAAACUGCAAACUAACACAGGAAUAGCAAACCAAACACUGCAUGUUCUCCCUUAUAAGUGGGAGUUGAAUAAUGAGUACACAUGGACACAGGGAGGGGAACAUCACUCACCAGGGCCUGUUAGGGGGUGUGGGACAAUGGGAGGGAGAGCAUUAGGACAAAUACCUAAUGCAUGUGGGGCUUAAAACCUGGAUGAUGGGUUGAUGGGUGCAGUAAACCACCAUAGCACAUGUAUACCUAUGUAACAAACCUGCAUGUUCUGCACACGUACCCCAGAACUUAAAGUAAAAUAAAAAAAUAAAAAAAUAAAAAUAGGCCGGGCACGGUGGCUCACACCUGUAAUCCCAGGACUUUGGGAGGCCAAGGUGGGUGGAUCACGAGGUCAGGAGAUCAAGACCAUCCUGGCCAACAUGGUGAAACCCUGUCUGUACUAAAAAAUACAAAAAUUAGCUGGGCGUGGUGGCACACGCCUGUAGUCCCAGCUACUCGAGAAGCUGAGGCAGGAGAAUCACUUGAAACUGGGAAGCAGAAGUUGUAGUGAGCCAAAAUCGUGCCACUGCACUCCAGCCUGGUGACAGAGCGAGACUCCAUCUCAAAAAAAUAAACAAAUAAAUAAAUAAAAAUAAAAAAUAAAUAAAUAAUUAAACUAAAAUAAAAAGAAAAUAAAUAAAUAGUAACUAUUUUAGGUAAUACAUUUGUUAAUUAACUUGAUUUAGUCAUUCCACAAUGUAUACACAUUUCAAAACAUGAUGUUGCACACUACAAAUAUAUACAAUUUGUCAAUAAAAUAAAAUAAAUGAAUAAAAU